UGCUGCAUGGCUGUCGUCAGCUCGUGUCGUGAGAUGUUGGGUUAAGUCCCGCAACGAGCGCAACCCUUGUCAUUAGUUGCCAUCAUUUAGUUGGGCACUCUAAUGAGACUGCCGGUGACAAACCGGAGGAAGGUGGGGAUGACGUCAAGUCCUCAUGGCCCUUAUGGGUAGGGCUUCACACGUCAUACAAUGGUCGGUACAGAGGGUUGCCAAGCCGCGAGGUGGAGCCAAUCCCUUAAAGCCGAUCGUAGUCCGGAUCGUAGUCUGCAACUCGACUACGUGAAGUCGGAAUCGCUAGUAAUCGCAGAUCAGCACGCCGCGGUGAAUACGUUCCCGGGCCUU
rnacentral:rRNA from 1 species